rnacentral:rRNA from 1 species
CCCUUAGAUGUCCGGGGCUGCACGCGCGCUACACUGAAGGAAUCAGUGUGCUAAAACCAUUGUCGAAAGGCAUUGGUAAACCCAUUAAAAUCCUACGUGAUUGGGAUCGGGAAUUGCAAUUAUUUCCCUUGAACGAGGAAUUCCCAGUAAGUGUGGGUCAUAAGCUCGCGUUGAUUACGUCCCUGCCCUUUGUACACACCGCCCGUCGCUGCCCGGGACUGAGCCGUUUCGAGAAAAGCGGGGACUGCUGCUGUCGGGGCUUUCGGGCCUUGGCUUCGGUGGAAACCGCUUUAAUCGCAGUGGCUUGAACCGGGCAAAANUCGUANCA